rnacentral:rRNA from 1 species
UACGAAGGGGGCUAGCGUUGCUCGGAAUUACUGGGCGUAAAGCGUGCGUAGGUGGUUUGUUAAGUCUGCUGUGAAAGCCCCGGGCUCAACCUGGGAAUGGCAGUGGAUACUGGCAAGCUAGAGUGCGGUAGAGGGGUGUGGAAUUCCCGGUGUAGCGGUGAAAUGCGUAGAUAUCGUUUGGAACGCCAAUGGUGAAAACAGGUUGCUGGGGGUGUGCUGACGCUGAGACACGAAAGCCAGGGGAGCAAACGGG